CUACGGGAGGCAGCAGGGGGGAAUUUUGGACAAUGGGCGAAAGCCUGAUCCAGCCAUGCCGCGUGAGUGAAGAAGGCCUUCGGGUUGUAAAGCUUCUUUUAG
rnacentral:rRNA from 1 species